rnacentral:rRNA from 1 species
AAGUCGUAACAGGUCUCCGUUGGUGAACCAGCGGAGGAUCAUUACUGAGUACUACACUCUCUACCCUUUGUGAACUAUUAUACCUGUUGCUUCGGCGGCGCCCGCAAGGGUGCCGCCGGGUCUCAUCAGAAUCUCUUGUUUUCGAACCCGACGAUACUUCUGAGUUGUCUUAGCGAACUGUCCAAAACUUUUAACAACGGAUCUCUUGGCUCCAGCAUCGAUGAAGAACGCAGCGAAACGCGAUAUGUAAUGUGAAUUGCAGAAUUCAGUGAAUCAUCGAAUCUUUGAACGCACAUGGCGCUUCCAGAUAUCCUGGGAGGCAUGCCUGUCCGAGCGUCGUUUCAACCCUCGAGCCCCUGUGGCCCGGCGUUGGGGAUCUGCCACGGCAGUGCCCCUAAACCAGUGGCGGACCCGAAGGGCCCUCUCCUUUGCGCAAGUAGCAUUCGCAUGCGCAUCGGGAGUCCUCGGCGUCCUGCCUCUAAACCCCCCACAAGCCGCUUCGGCGGCACCAAGGUUGACCUCGGAUCAGGGUAGGAAUACCGCUGAACUUAA